rnacentral:tRNA from 1 species
AACUUCUUACCAGUAUUUUGAAAAUACUAAAUAGACUAAGUCUAGAAGUUU